rnacentral:rRNA from 1 species
GACGAACGCUGGCGGCGUGCUUAACACAUGCAAGUCGAACGGAAAGGCCCUGCUUUUGUGGGGUGCUCGAGUGGCGAACGGGUGAGUAACACGUGAGUAACCUGCCCUUGACUUUGGGAUAACUUCAGGAAACUGGGGCUAAUACCGGAUAGGCGCUCCUGCUGCAUGGUGGGGGUUGGAAAGUUUCGGCGGUUGGGGAUGGACUCGCGGCUUAUCAGCUUGUUGGUGGGGUAGUGGCUUACCAAGGCUUUGACGGGUAGCCGGCCUGAGAGGGUGACCGGCCACAUGGGGACUGAGAUAAGGCCCAGAGUCCGAUGGGAGGCAGGAGUGGAGAAAAUUGCAAAAAGGGCGGAAGCCUGAUGCAGCAACGCCGCGUGCGGGAUGACGGCCUUCGGGUUGUAAACCGCUUUCGCCUGUGACGAAGCGUGAGUGAUGGUAAUGGGUAAAGAAGCACCGGCUAGCUACGUG